CCUACGGGAGGCAGCAGUGAGGAAUAUUGGACAAUGGAGGAGACUCUGAUCCAGCCAUGCCGCGUGCAGGAAGAAUGCCCUAUGGGUAGUAAACUGCUUUUAUACGGGAAGAAAAAGAGCUACGUGUAGCUCACUGACGGUACCGUAAGAAUAAGGACCGGCUAACUCCGUGCCAGCAGCCGCGGUAAUACGGAGGGUCCGAGCGUUAUCCGGAAUUAUUGGGUUUAAAGGGUCCGUAGGCGGGCGAUUAAGUCAGUGGUGAAAGUCUGCAGCUCAACUGUAGAAUUGCCUUUGAUACUGAUCGUCUUGAGUUAUGGUGAAGUUGCCGGAAUAUGUAGUGUAGCGGUGAAAUGCAUAGAUAUUACAUAGAACACCGAUUGCGAAGGCAGGUGACUAACUAUAUACUGACGCUGAUGGACGAAAGCGUGGGGAGCGAACAGGAUUAGAUACCCUGGUAG
rnacentral:rRNA from 1 species